rnacentral:rRNA from 1 species
GACGGACGCUGGCGGCGUGCUUAACACAUGCGAGUCGAACGGAAAGGCCCUGCUUUUGUGGGGUGCUCGAGUGGCGAACGGGUGAGUAACACGUGAGUAACCUGCCCUUGACUUUGGGAUAACUUCAGGAAACUGGGGCUAAUACCGGAUAGGAGCUCCUGCUGCAUGGUGGGGGUUGGAAAGUUUCGGCGGUUGGGGAUGGACUCGCGGCUUAUCAGCUUGUUGGUGGGGUAGUGGCUUACCAAGGCUUUGACGGGUAGCCGGCCUGAGAGGGUGACCGGCCACAUUGGGACUGAGAUACGGCCCAGACUCCUACGGGAGGCAGCAGUGGGGAAUAUUGCACAAUGGGCGGAAGCCUGAUGCAGCAACGCCGCGUGCGGGAUGACGGCCUUCGGGUUGUAAACCGCUUUCGCCUGUGACGAAGCGUGAGUGACGGUAAUGGGUAAAGAAGCACCGGCUAACUACGUG